GGUGGUGCCAGAGCUGUGAAUAUUGCAGGGAAGUGGAGGGCUGCCCCAACACAAUGUCCUGCCUCUUCUAUGGGAAACCUGAACAGCAAAAUGAAGUGCAUUGUUCAAGAGACAAAUGUAUGUUCUGGGCCAAUGCAGACAGGAAUCUUUCUGCUGUAGAUGGGAGACUGAGGAACAGGAAGCCCAAGAUUUGUCUAAGUAGUAUGGACCAUCUGUACCUAAACAGGAAAUGAACUGGGUCUCCAGAGCUCCA